AAAAAUCCAACUGUAGAAAUUAAGAACUUAAUAAACAUUUUUAACAACACUCCCUUUCUCUCCUCCGCUCCUAAGGCCAAUAUGCCCCCCUGUGCUGUGGACCCCAUCCCUCUCGUGUGGAAUCACCCGCAGAGCUCAUAGGGGGUCAGGAACACUUUGUGAGCCCGUCGGCCAGAAAGGAAAAGCCCACAGUUCAUGGGACAUGUGAAGAGGUCCUCAGCAGGGCACUGACUAAGCCACACAUCAAAUUACCCUAAGGUAAGGCUGCUCUCCCAUCUCCAUAAGCUCAAGAAGGAGGGGAUGAACGGAACAUGCUAAAUAAAAACACAGACCGUAUUGAGAAGAUCCAAGUGAAACUUUUAGAAAGUUCCACGUCUGAGGUUUUUCAGGUACUGAUGGGAUUCUCGGCACAUUACUUCAGAAACAAAUAUCGUUGAAUACUGAGGAUGCAACAAUAGAACGUAUACAAGAUAAAAUACACAGAGAAAAAAGAUGGGAAAAAAUAAAAAGAGCCUCAGAGAGCUGUAGGACACCUUGAGGCAGGCAAUACACGUGGAAUUCGGGUCCCCAAGGGAUCGGGCUGGACAGAAGAAAAUAUUUGAAGAAAUAACUUGCAAAAUGUUCCUAAAAUUGCUAAAACUAUAAACCCACAGACGCAAGCAGCUCAACAAACAUCAAGUUCAAGAAACAUGAAUGAAACUAUACAAGUCAUAUCGGUAUCCAAGUGCUUAAAGGCAGUGAUUAAGAGGAAAGCUUAAAAGCAGAAAGAGAAGCAAGACGUAUUCUGUAGAGGAAUGAAGCUAAGAAGGGUUUUUCACGGAAACAAUGCAAAGGACAGCAUUCAGCCAAAAGAAGGAAAAAACCUUGCAGAAACGAAGGUGACCCCCGCCCAUGCACACACACAGCCAGGGUGCUGUGAGUGGGAAGCCCAGGAGACACCCCUGCCUCAUACCCGGGGUGUCGGCCGAGGCCCGGGGGGCGCCUGGUCUCACCCUCCUGUCUGCUCAGGGUGUCCACGCUGUCGCCCCGCAGCCCCACUGGGCCCUUUCCCAUCACUACCCGAAAGUCCUUCCAGCGUCCCCCGGCCGUGGCAACGGGGCCCCCAGCCCCACACGCGCUGCGGCCGCGGCCUCGCCCUCCUGGCCUGGCUCCCAGCCUGCACGAGCUCGCAUUCCCCGUUUAUCCCCUUUCCAUUUGUCCUUUGGCCUCUUCCAGUCGCCUUCCGUUCCCGUCACAUCACUCACCAAAAUAGCUCCAAGUCACCCGGGACCCCGUGUCACCACCUCCAAGGGACGCGUGUGCUCUCAGCUUCCUCAACCUCCGGCCACCGCCCCCCCAAGACGUGCAUCCUCAGCCUCGCGACCCCGCCGUGGGAUGUCAGAGCUGCCCCAGGGUACUGCUCACGGCCCCUUCUCUUCCCGUCCGGGCCCCUCCUCUUACCCUUCGGAGGCUCCACCUGGAGGCAGGUCCCGCCACCUCUGACCCCCUCCAGGGCCAUGGCCCCAGGCCGAGUUGGGGCCAACUCGUGCUGAACGACGACAGCCUCUCUCCGCGCCCGUCCUGGCUCCCCUAACGAGUACUCUCCAGACCACGACCAAAUAAAUGUCUCAGCAGGCAAACCUGAGCAGUCACCCCACGCCCCUCUGAGCCCUUGAACUAAAGACCAGGACCUUGAGGUCUGAGCCCCGCCCGCAGGGUCCUGGCUGGAAGGCUCCAGGUAUCAUGUGUGCAUUCCGUGCGGUGUGACCUCCAUCGCGGUGUGACCUCCAUCGCACUCCUCACCGAGAUGGGGGUGCCGGGAGCCCCCAGGGCCAUGGGUGACGCACAGCCCAGCUCCCCCGGGGUCAGAUGUUUCCCAAUUCGUGAGGUUCAUCUGGACCAGAUAGAGGAUAAAAAUUGUCUUAGCAGAGGAGAAACCCAAAGAGGCUAUGAAAACCCAUGUGGGCGAGGAAAGGCCGACAUUGAAGUGGCUUAGAGUUGUCAAGGCAACCACAGAUUUCUACAUCUUGGUAACAUUCAAGAUUACAACGCGAUCCUUAAUGCAAUAUUCAUGGCUGUGUUUUAAAACUAUGAGAACUGCCACCUGACUGUUAGAACUGUACCCUGUAUGCCUUUCUUCUAAACCAACUGUCCCCAACGCCCAAGGACUAGUGCAGAGACAGGAGUUGGUUUGGAUCUGCACUCUCUCUUUGACCAGAUCGUGCCUGGCCCAUCGUACAAGCUCAACAACACAUUUUUACUAAAUGUGAAAGCAUGGCCUUUAUCCUGUAGAUGCUAUUUACGGGUUCCUGUUUACAGCUAUGGCCCUCAAUUAAUGGGAAGUUUAUCUCUACCCUGUCAUUAAAUAAUCAUAGCAAGGCCAGAGGAGGUAAGACGUGGCCAGAGGGCCCUGAGCUGUUGUCAAGGGCACUGGCUCCGGGCCUGGUUUUCCUGUUUGUUAAUCUGUUGCUGUAGCUGUGUGCCUUGGGCAGACUCUCUCCACCCUCCCAGACCUUGGCUUCCCCACUGGGAAAGUGAGACUUAGAUUAGAUGAUCCUUGCCUAAGCCCGGAUAUGCUAUGAUUUCAGUCCUGAACGAUCACGCCAGGAGAAGAGAGCCUUACCCACUCCAGCACGUCGCCAGCGGCCUGGCCCAGAAUAGGGUCCAGGAAACGGGAACCAGAGCACAGGAUGGUCCUGCCAAGAGGAUUCUGAAAGUGCUUAAUGGCUUAAAGAUCACCAACAACACAACAAGCCAGGCCCUCACGAUUUAGCCUCCAGGGAGAAGUUGGUUGCCACAGUGGUUGUGUGAGGCCAGGUCAAGGUCAAGGUGACGGCCACGACCAGUUCAGCAAGUGACUUGGGCCACGACCCACUCAGCGAGGCCACAGCCAGGGCUUCCUGGAAAAUCCCAGAUGCUCCCAUUCACAGCCAUGUGUCCAUGAUUCUGUUAUAAUGAGGGACCUUACGACUUAUCACCCAGGCUGAAACCACCUGAAGGGUGAGAGCAAGGACCAUACAAAACACUCUGAGACAACAGGCACGUGCCUACUGUCACCUGGGGUGUCCGAUUUCAGGUGUCACCCGGACGGAGCUGAGGGAUGCUGGGAGAGCUGGGGGAGCGGUACUUCUGGGGGCGUCUGGGUGGGUGUGUCUGGAAGAGAUCAGCAUUUGAGGUAGUAACCGAGUAAGGCCACCCUCCGCAGGGUGGGCGGCUUCAUCCAGUCCUUUGAGGUCCUGAAUAGAACACACGGGUGGAGGAAGGGACAACGCGCUCUCUCUUCUUGAGCUGGGACGUCCAUCUCCUGCCCUCAGACGUCGGGGCCCCCGGUUCUCGGAAAUUGCACUUGGACCAAGUCCCACCACAGGCUGUCCUGGUCCCCAGCUUGCAGACGGCCGAUGGGGGGGGCUUCUUGGCCUCUGUAGCCCCCCGCGGCCGCUUCCUAUAAUAAACCUCCCCUCGUGCCCAUCUGUCCAUCCGUCUGUCCUGUUGGCUGUCUCUCUGGAGGACCCUGACUACCACACCCUCACUACAACCAGCAUCAGCUCAGCCCCACGAAUGCGGAAGUUGUUACCUCACAUCUUGGGGAACCAGAACCGUUUGGGGGCCCAGAUGUACUUCAGAAAAAGUGGAACACUUGAGAGGCGCUCUCUCUGUGAGGAUGACGUGUUUUCUCCAAAAGACUAGUAUUUUUCCUUCUGGUCUGAUUAAAAGCUGAGUUCACAGAGUUUUGCUAUUUUUCCCAUGAGCUCUGCACUUUAUUUUUUUUUAUGCUCAUGAGGAGCUUUCACAGAAUCAUCUCACUUGACUUGAGCUUUACAUUGUCCUUCUUCUUCAAAAGAUUCCUUUUCUCAUCACAGACUAUUUUACUUGGAGAAGACUCUGAGGAAAAAAUGUACAGAUGACCCCCCCGCAGUGGUAAAAUAUCCUAAGUUCAUGGAACCGUUAUUUACAUAAAAUUCUAAUUGCAGCCAAUUAGGUAUAAAACUGCAGACCUAGGGCCUGCAGUAGGCCUAGGGCCUAAAAGUACUCCAUUAUUCAUAAAUUAAAAGAUGACCUUCCUGAGUUGAAUUUGGCACUGAUUUUAGAAAUUUGAGCAAAUUAUUUUCAAUAAUGCACGUAAAUAAGGCUAUUAUUAUGCUUCCCCAGGAGAGGCAGAAACUGUGUCUCAUUUUCUUUUUAUUUUAAACAACUAUUCCUGGGGCUGGCAUAGAAUAGACACGCGAUAAAUACUCCUUAUUUGAUUGUUGGAAAGAAAAUUAAAUGAACUGACCUAAGAGAUGUGGUCAAGUCAGGAGUGGAAUCUGCUUUAAUGCUGUGAAAAGUAAAGAUACAAGUGUCAACUGUUGACUUUUUUGACGUACAAAUGAAAUGAUGUUAAAGUAUCAAAAAUUAACAAGAUAUAAACAUUGAUUAUUAUUAUUUAUUACCCCAUUCUAGUUUUGUUAUUCAACAUUACAUUUUAUUAUAAAUUAUCUGCAGAUUAUCAAGUAGUCCUUUAGCCCAAAGUUUCUUGAACAUUUUAGUCAAACUUUUUGGACCCCUGUGUGCCCUUAAAGAUAUCCCAAAUAGCUUUUACUUAUGUGGGUUAUAUAUCUACCCACAUGUACCACACUAGAAAUUUUAAUUCACUUUAAGGUAACAAAACCUGACCCAUUUUACGUUAACACAAAUAACAUAUUUAUGAAAAAUAACUAUAUUUUUGAAAACAAAAAAAUAGGUAGAGUGGUUCUCUUUUAUGUUUUUACAAAUCUCUCUAACGUUUGGUUUAAGAAAAGACAGCUGGGGGUGUGUUUCUGCAUUCAAUUUGUUGCAGCCCAAUUCUUGGCUGAAAUGUGUGGGAAAGAUCCAGUCUCACGUUGACAGACAGUUUAAGACUGCGCGGAUCUUAAUAGCCUUUUCAGAAGUGAACAGUGUUUUCUUUUACUGCAGACACCAUCUGGUAAUUUCUUACAGAUUAGUUGCAAUGUGGAAUCCGAAACCAUAGCAAUGCCCUUCACAUGCCUGUUACGUUACAUCCUUUGGCCUCUCUUGCAGCUUGGAUGCACCUUCUACCCAUGCACGAUUUGUGACAUCCUGUGUUGGCCACUGGAAAAUAAGACUUCACUGAAUUUACACAGAAUCUUCCAAAUCCCAUCGUACGGUAGCAAAAACUCACACUGUUGAUAUAGCCACUGACCUCAUCAGUAUUAUGAAAAUGAUUCUUGACACCCAGACUCUGUAAGAGGGCAUCAGAAACUUCCAGGCCACUCGGGACCACAUUCAGAAGUGCCGUUUUAGCCUCUGCUGAAGCUGCGAACCUUCCAGGCUUUGGAAAUCUUGACCAAGUGACUUUUCAACAUAUGGCCACUAGAGGGCGCACCAAACUGGCAGAACCGUCAAAAAAAUGUAUUCAUACCAAUUCCUUUAAGAAGAAAUUCAAAAGCGUUUUAUAAGACAGAGGAAAAACACCAUAAGCAACUUUAAGUAAUUAUAUUACCAAUAAUCUUUGGCAAUUUUGAAAAAAAGUUACAUUAAUCCUAACUUGGUUCCAACUGGUCACAGCAGUUGUGUCAAAAACACAUCAGUGUAAAAGCUCCAAGCUGAGUAACGGCAGGUUAGUUCUUUGUAGUAACUCUUAUACUGAAAGUAAGUCUUUAAAAAUCUGAGGGUGUGUGAAGUAAGUCAGAAGCAGAAAAACAAAUACCGUAUGCUAACACAUAUGUAUGGAAUCUAAGAAAA